UAUAAAGCUUUGUCAGUAGAGGGCGCCAGAGGGACACUGUGGAGGAAGGGACCUCUUUCUGGUCCACAGGGCUCUGUUUUGCAUUUUCUCGUUCCUAUUGCAUCUUCUCUUAGGGUAUAAACGCGGGGGGAAAUCCACUGGAGCUUUGCCCCAGGUGUGCUCCCAGAAUGCAUGGUCCCUUGGCCACCUCGUAGCCCAUCCUGAGCCCAGUGCCCAUCUUGCUGUGGUCCAGCCCACACCUCCACCUGCAAGUGCAUGCCACUAUCUCCUAUGCCCAGAGAGGUGUUUCCUGCCUGCCAGCCUGCCCUGCAUCUACGAACCAGCACUUGUGGGACACUGCACCUUUUCUGCCUCUCUGGGACCCUGCAUCUUCUCUGCCAUCCAGGGAGCUGCAGCCACAGACAUCUAGCAAGGUCAGGACCCCAGCCUCGGGGGCGGGCCCUUCCAAGCUUGUCUUCUUCAGUGCUAGGGUGCUGUUCUGAGUUUUCCUGGUGUCGUUUUAGCCACUCCUCUAUCAUAGUUUAAUAAUUAUGUAUAGGAAACGUCCCCUAUUCGGAUCACUGUGUGGUUUCUGAGUCUUGAUUGAACUCUGAUGGACAGGUCCCCAAGAAGUCCCCUCAGGCACUCUGGAGAGAAUGUGGGCUCCCUAAUCCAAAGAGCGGGUGUGGGUCUGGCUCACUCACUGUGUGUCUAACGUGUGGCUGAGGCCACAUGACUGCACUUCCCUGGGCUCAGUUUGCUCACCCAGGAAAUGAAUGGAAAACUUCCAUCUCCAAUGGAUGCUAAGACUGUGAAAUGAGAUCAUGCAAAUGAAGCUCAGAGCAUCGGGCGAGGUACCUGCUGGUGUUCCAGAUGGCAGAACUGCACCUUUCAGGCAAAAAAUGUGAAAAGAGAGACUGGCCAAGCCUCGCAGCCCACAUCUCUCUCCGGUGCUGGAUGGUUCCUGCUCUUGAACACUGGACUCCAAGUUCUUCAGUUUUGAGGCUUGGACUAGCUUUCCUUGCUCCUCAAGCUCCAGCCCGCCUAUUGUGGGACCUUGUGAUCAUCCUACACUGAUGACUUCAUGGGGAGUUCCCUAUGAUCGAUUGAUAGAGGAAGACAAGACUAGGGCCUGGAUCACAGAUGGUUCUGCAUGACAUGCAGGUACCACCCAAAAGUGGACAGCUGCAGCACUUCAGCCCUUUCUAUGACAUCCUUGAAGGACAGCGGUGAACGGCAAUCUUCCCUGUGGGCAGCAUUCCAAGCAGUACACCUGGUUGUAGACUUUGCAUGGAAUGAGAAACAGCCAAAUUUGUAAUUAUAUAGAUUCAUGGGCUGUAGCCAAUGGUUUUGCUGGAUGGUCAGGGACUUAGAAGCAUGUUUGGAAAAUUGGUGAUAAAGAAAUUUGAGGAAGAGGUAUGUGCAGGGACUUCUCUAAAUGGUCAAAAACCAUGAAGAUACUUGUAUCCCAUGGGAGUGCUCAUCAGUGGGUAACCUCAGUAGAGGAGGACUUUAAUAAUCAAGUGGAUAGGAUGACCCGUUCUGUGGACGUCACUCAGUCUCUUUCCCCAGCCACUCCUGUCAUCGCCCAAUGGGCCCAUGAACAAAGUGGCCAGGGUGGCAGGGAUGGAGGUUAUGCCUGGGCUCAACAACAUGAACCUGCACCCACCAAGGCUGAUCUGGCUAUGGCCACUGCUGAGUGCCAAUUUACCAGGAACAGAGACCAACACUGAGCCCUCGAUAUGGCACCAUUCCUCAGGGUGGUCAGCCAGCUACCAGGUGGCAGGUCGAUUAUACUGGACCUCUUCCAAUGUGGAAAGGUCAGAGGUUCGUCCUCCUUGGAAUAAAUACUUACUCUGGAUAUGGGUUUGCCUAUUCUUCAGGCAAUGCUUCUGCCAAGACUACCAUCUGUGGACUCAUGGAAUACCUUGUCCACCAUCACUGUAUUCCACACAGCAUUGCCUCUGCCAAGGCACUCACUUUACAGCUAAAGCGGUGUGGCAGCGGGCCCAUGAUCAUGGAAUUUCCUGGUCUUACCAUGUUCCCCAUCAUCCUGAAGCAGCUGGAUUGACAGAACGGUGGAAUGGCCUUUUGAAGUCAGAACUACAAUGCCAAUAGGUGACAAUACUUUGCAGAGCUGGGGCAAAGUUCUCCAGAAGGCCGUGUAUGCUCUGAAUCAGUGUCCAAUAUAUGGUACUGUUUCUCCCAUGAGUUCAGGAAUCAAGGGGUGGAAGUGGCACCACUCGCCAUCACCCCUAAUGAUUCACUAGCAAUAUUUGUGCUUCCUGUUCCGGCGACAUUACAUUCUGCUGGCUUAGAGGUCUUGGUUCCAGAGGGAGGGAUGCUGCCCACAGGAUACACAAUAACAAUCCCAUUAAACUGGAGGGUAAGAUUGCCACCUGGACGCUUUGGGCUUCUUCUACCUUUAAGUCAAUCGGCUAAGAAGGGCGUUCCAGUGUUGGCGGAGGUGAUGGACCCUGACUAUCAAGACGAAAUCAGCGUACUACUCCAUAGCGGAGGUAAGGAAAAGAAUGCGUGGAAUACAGGAGAGCCAUGGCAGCGUCUCUUAGUAUUACCAUGCCCUCUGGUUAAGGUCAAUGGGAAACUGCAACAGCCCAAUCAGUGUGGGACUGCAAAUGGUCCAGACCCCUCAGGAAUUAAGGUUGGGGUCACUCCACCAAGAAAAAGACCACGACCUGCUGAGGUGCUCUCUGAAGGCAAAGGGAGUAUGGAAUGGGCAGUAGAAGAAGGUAGCCAUCGAUGCCAGCCACGUGACCAGCUGCAGAAACAAGGAGCGUAACUCUCAUGAAUAUUUCCUCCUUCUUUUGUUAAAAACAUAUUUGCGCAUAUAUACAUUUGUCCUAAGAAAAUAUCUUCAUUUUAUUUCCUUUUCCUUUAUCACAUGACAUAUCGUAUUGGCAUUUAAGUAUCGUUAACUUUAUAUGAUGGUAUUUGGGCUGGGGACUGGUGCAUUUCUGAUUGUACAAAGGACAGUUGUAUUAUUUUAGGAGAAAUUAUAACAUUGUCUUUAUUCGAAGAUGAUGUAUAAUCUCAGGAGAGGUGUCUGGGUUGAACUUGACAAGGGCUGGACUCGUGAUGGUUAAUACUGGGUGUCACCUUGAUUGGAUUGAAGAAUGAAAAGCAUCGAUCCUGGGUGUGUCUGUGAGGGUGUUGCCGAAGGAGAUGAACAUUUGAGUCAGUGGGCUGGGAAAGGCAGACCUUCCCUCAAUCUGGUGGGCACCAGCUAAUCAGCUGCCAGUGAACAUAAAGCAGGAAGGAAAAUGUGAAAAGGCAAGACUGGCCGAGCCUCCCAGCCCACAUCGUUCUCCCUUGCUGGAUGCUUCCUGUCUUCAAACAUCAGACUUCAAGUUCUUCAGUUUUGAGAUUCAAACUGGCUCUCCUUGCUCCUCAAGCUUGCAGACAACCUACUGGGGGACCUUGUGAUCGUGUGAGUUAAUACUUAAUAAACUCCCCUUAUAUAUGUAUCUUAUUAGUUCUGUCACCCUAGAGGUUCUUGACUAACACGUCCUGGGACCCCGCAGGCUCUGGGUUCUGAGAUGCCCCCUCGACUGUGCUGGGAGCUGCCUCUGUCAUUGUGUCUGUGCGGUUACAAUAGCGGCCACCUUGUCUCAGGGCGGGGAAGUGGAAAACAGGCCAGAGGGUGAUGAGGCUGCACGUUCUCAUCUGUCCCCUGAGCUCCUGGCCGCACAAGCGUCUCCCCACACUAAGGCCGUGGGCUGCUCUCUGGGCCUUGAGCCAAAGGCCUGUCCUGACAUGGUCCAGGGUGGGUGGGGGGCUCCCCUCCUUCCAAGUCUGGCCAGAGACAGCCAGGGAAGCCACUUGGAGAGAGGUCUGGUGGGCCAGGCCCUAGGGAUGUAGGUAGCGGAUUGGUGGGUGCCCUUGGCCUGGUCCUGAGAGGCUCCCCCUCCCUUCCACACUCAGGCCUCUGCACCCAGGGAUGUGGAGGAUUCACCUGCCAGUCACCCUGUUCCUCUCCUCCGGGCUGGAAGUGCAGCCCAGGACUUGCCUCCACUCUCCUGGCAGCCCUGCUGGGCUGGGUGGGUGAGUGGGGCUGAGUGUGUUAACGGGGCUGCUGGCCAGUGGAGGAGGGUGUGCCUGUAGUCUAGGGGUGGGAACUUGGGACCCCCAGAAGCUUUUUCUCAUCUUGCAAAGUGAGCUCCUGGUGGCUGUGAACCGGCUGUCUCGGCCCAGCUGUGUGUCCUGGAAGGUCUGUUCAUGGCUCAGGCCUCAGGAGGUCCCUUCCUCCAUCCUCCCACAGUAAGUCAUGCUGUUGCUGGUUCAGUCACACCUGGUUUCCUGAAGGUGUCACUCAAUGCCUGCAUCUGGCAUUGAGCCCAGCUCUCUUAGAAGGUUCCUGGGCUCCCACCAGCCUGCCCAAGAUCCCACCUUGGGCUUAUGGUGGCUUCCUUUCAAGUGGCAGGUCAGGAUGAAUAAGGCUUUUCAUUCCUUCAAACUCUGGUUCCAGCCCUGGUUCUGAAACUCUUUCACAUGGCUCCACUUCCUCACUGGUCAAGUGGGGAUUAUAAAUUCCUGGUCACAGUGCUGGUGCAAAGACCCACUGGGGGUAAUGCCUGUGGGGGCUUGGAAUGUGGUAGAGUGGGGGCACCCUUCUCUCCAGGGCAGGGUGGGCAGGAAGUCCUGCCUCCACUUUGUGCUCUGUGACUUUGGGUUCAUGGUCAACCUCUCUGAGCCUCUGUUUCCUCAUCUGUAAAUGGAGAUGUUGUGAUGGUGAAAUAAAAGCAAAGACAAGUCUUUGCUCAAAAUUUGUUUCCUCAAUGAGGCUUCCCUGGACAUCAUAUUUAAUUCUGAGCCCUGCCCCCGCCACACACAUCCUACUCCCCACCCCAGUAUUGUGUUUAAUGUAUUCAUACAUUGUGUUUAUAGUUUAUAGCCUGCCCCACUGGAAUGUCAGGUCCAUGAGGGCAGGAAUGCAAGUGGCUAAUAGAUGAGAUCAUCUCCCCCCACUUCCCUCCUUCCUUCUGUCUUCCUUACAAAUGCACAGUAUACCAGGACCGAUGCCAGACCCCUGGCAUUCCAGCAGCAAAGAAGGCAGACAAGGUCCCUGCCCUCAAACAGCCCUCAUCCAGCAGUCAGGACACACAUACACAGGC